UCAGUCGACUCCUACGGGGAGGCAGCAUGGGGGAAUAUUGCACAAUGGGGGAAACCCUGAUGCAGCCAUGCCGCGUGUGUGAAGAAGGCUUCGGGUUGUAAAGCACUUUCAGUAGGGAGGAAGGUAGUGUAGUUAACACCUAGCAUUAUUUGACGUUACCUACAGAAGAAGCACCGGCUAACUCCGUGCCAGCAGCCGCGGUAAUACGGAGGGUGCGAGCGUUAAUCGGAAUUACUGGGCGUAAAGCGCAUGCAGGCGGCUUGUUAAGUCAGAUGUGAAAGCCCGGGGCUUAACCUCGGAAUUGCAUUUGAAACUGGCAGGCUAGAGUCUUGUAGAGGGGGGUAGGAAUUUCAGGUGUAGCGGUGAAAUGCGUAGAGAUCUGAAGGAAUACCAGUGGCGAAGGCGGCCCCCCUGGACAAAGACUGACGCUCAGAUGCGAAAGCGUGGGGAGCAAACAGGAUUAGAUACCCCUGGUAG
rnacentral:rRNA from 1 species